rnacentral:rRNA from 1 species
GAUGAGCGCUGGCGGCGUGCCUAAUACAUGCAAGUCGAGCGAACGGACGAGAAGCUUGCUUCUCUGAUGUUAGUGGCGGACGGGUGAGUAACACGUGGAUAACCUACCUAUAAGACUGGGAUAACUUCGGGAAACCGUAGCUAAUACCGGAUAAUAUUUUGAACCGCAUGGUUCAAAAGUGAAAGACGGUCUUGCUGUCACUUAUAGAUGGAUCCGCGCUGCAUUAGCUAGUUGGUAAGGUAACGGCUUACCAAGGCAACGAUGCAUAGCCGACCUGAGAGGGUGAUCGGCCACACUGGAACUGAGACACGGUCCAGACUCCUACGGGAGGCAGCAGUAGGGAAUCUUCCGCAAUGGGCGAAAGCCUGACGGAGCAACGCCGCGUGAGUGAUGAAGGUCUUCGGAUCGUAAAACUCUGUUAUUAGGGAAGAACAUAUGUGUAAGUAACUGUGCACAUCUUGACGGUACCUAAUCAGAAAGCCACGGCUAACUACGUG